rnacentral:misc_RNA from 1 species
GAUGAAGAACGUAGCGAAAUGCGAUACGUAAUGUGAAUUGCAGAAUUCAGUGAAUCAUCGAGUCUUUGAACGCACAUUGCGCCCUCUGGUAUUCCGGAGGGCAUGCCUGUCCGAGCGUCAUUGCUGCCCUCAAGCACGGCUUGUGUGUUGGGCUCCGUCCCCCGAUCCCGGGGGACGGGCCCGAAAGGCAGCGGCGGCACCGCGUCCGGUCCUCGAGCGUAUGGGGCUUUGUCACCCGCUCUGUAGGCCCGGCCGGCGCUUGCCGAUCAACCCAAAUUUUUAUCCAGGUUGACCUCGGAUCAGGUAGGGAUACCCGCUGAACUUAAGCAUAUCAAUAAGCGGAGGA